UGGAUGUCUUCAUGAGGCGCUCUAGGGAC
rnacentral:piRNA from 2 species